GGACUAUAUUACAAACAAAACUUCUUAUUUGGCCCACUCAAAUUCUAACUUGCAGUUAAAAUAAAAUUAUGAACCAAUACGACUAUGUAUUGGGAACAUAGGACAUCAAAACGUAGGAGAUGGAACAUGGAUGUUUGACAAUAUGGUAAUGUAAUGCUAUUUCAGCUGCACAUUACUAUGAGGUAGCCUUGCAAGUAAUUAGCUUGUUGGUGCAGCUGCUAGAGGAAGAGGGCAAAGGGACCCUAAAUCAUAAAUUAUUUUACCUUUUUCUAAUCAAAUUUUACCUUAAUCCCUUGCCAGCCCCUCUUUUCCCAACCCAAUCAAGCAU
rnacentral:misc_RNA from 1 species